AGCAGCCUGAAUUCUUGUCUUGUGGAGGCUCUGCAAGUUAGAGCAGAACUGGCCGCUUGAGACAGGAGCUAAUUUCAGAGCAAAACAACAGUUACAAAGGCAUCCCGUAAGAUUUCAGUGCUUAAAAAGAGGCAGAGAAAACUUCGUCUUUGUGAACAAACUUGGACGUUGUUAAGUUUCUACCUGAGUCCCAGGUGCACUUCAGUUUAAUCAUUCAUAAAUCAAGCUCAAGUACUGAGAAGUACUCGAUGUGUUUAAGAAACUUUCCUUUCAGAAAAAAUACACAUAACCAGUUUGAAAUUACUCUGAAGUAUGUUUUUAAUAGAAUUAUAAAUAAAAACAACGAGGAAUAAAUUGUGAG
rnacentral:lncRNA from 1 species